GACAGAGCCUCAAGCGUUAGGCGGAAUCACUGGGCUUAAAGCGUGUGUAGGCGGAUCGUUAAGUGCCUUGUGAAAUCCCACGGCUUAACUGUGGAACGGCUGGGCAUACUGGCGGUCUUGAGCCAUCUAGGGGCGACUGGAACAAACGGUGGAGCGGUGAAAUGACGUAGAUAUCGUUUGGAACGCCAAUGGUGAAAACAGGUCGCUGGGGAUGAGCUGA
rnacentral:rRNA from 1 species